AGGACGAACGGCUGGCGGCGUGCCUAAUACAUGCAAGUCGAACGGUCGUUUCUAUGGAAGCUUGCUUCCACUGAGAAGAGUAGUGGCGAACGGGUGAGUAACACGUGGGUAACCUGCCCAUAAGAGGGGGAGUAACAUCCGGAAACGGGUGCUAAUACCGCAUAGUUUUCUUGAUCGUAUGAUCGGGAAAGGAAAGACGGCCUUUGUGCUGUCGCUUAUGGAUGGACCCGCGGCGUAUUAGUUAGUUGGUGAGGUAACGGCUCACCAAGACGAUGAUACGUAGCCGACCUGAGAGGGUGAUCGGCCACAUUGGGACUGAGACACGGCCCAAACUCCUACGGGAGGCAGCAGUAGGGAAUCUUCCGCAAUGGACGAAAGUCUGACGGAGCAACGCCGCGUGAGUGAAGAAAAGGUUUUCGGAUCGUAAAACUCUGUUGUCAGAGAAGAACAAGUUGGAGAGUAACUGCUCCAGCCUUGACGGUAUCUGACCAGAAAGCCACGGCUAACUACGUGCCAGCCGCUGC
rnacentral:rRNA from 1 species